rnacentral:rRNA from 1 species
UAGAGUUUGAUCCUGGCUCAGAACGAACGCUGGCGGCAGGCUUAACACAUGCAAGUCGAGCGCCCCGCAAGGGGAGCGGCAGACGGGUGAGUAACGCGUGGGAAUCUACCCAUCUCUACGGAACAACUCCGGGAAACUGGAGCUAAUACCGUAUACGUCCUUUUGGAGAAAGAUUUAUCGGAGAUGGAUGAGCCCGCGUUGGAUUAGCUAGUUGGUGGGGUAAAGGCCUACCAAGGCGACGAUCCAUAGCUGGUCUGAGAGGAUGAUCAGCCACACUGGGACUGAGACACGGCCCAGACUCCUACGGGAGGCAGCAGUGGGGAAUAUUGGACAAUGGGCGCAAGCCUGAUCCAGCCAUGCCGCGUGAGUGAUGAAGGCCCUAGGGUUGUAAAGCUCUUUCAACGGUGAAGAUAAUGACGGUAACCGUAGAAGAAGCCCCGGCUAACUUCGUGCCAGCAGCCGCGGUAA